GAGGAACGCUGGCGGCGUGCUUAACACAUGCAAGUCGAACGGAAAGGCCUGCUUUCCCUUGUGGAUUGCGGGUACUCGAGUGGCGAACGGGUGAGUAACACGUGAGUGAUCUGCCCCCAACUUGGGUAUAAGCCUGGGAAACUGGGUCUAAUUCCCGAUAGGACUGCAGGGUGGUGCCUGUGGUGGAAAACGAUUUUCUAGUGGUUGGGGAUGAGCUCGCGGCCUAUCAGCUUGUUGGUGGGGUAAUGGCCUACCAAGGCGGCGACGGGUAGCCGGCCUGAGAGGGUGGACGGCCACAUUGGGACUGAGAUACGGCCCAGACUCCGACGGGAGGCAGCAGUGGGGAAUAUUGCACAAUGGGCGGAAGCCUGAGGCAGCGACGCCGCGUGGGGGAUGACGGCCUUCGGGUUGUAAACUCCUUUCGACCGCGAGGAAGCCACCUGGUUGGAAGGGUGGUGACGGUAGUGGUAGAAGAAGCACCGGCUAACUACGUG
rnacentral:rRNA from 1 species